GUGGAAGGAGAACCGAGCAACAGAGAGAGGAACUCUCCCGCUGACAGCAGGCAGCUGGCACGAAGAGCACAGAAAAUCCAACUCUCCCCUCCCAGACUCCCAUGAAAAGAAUAGAGGGCGAUGCGGCCACUGGAACUGAGCUCUGAAGUACUGCUGCAACGUGCAGAUGGGAAUAUGCCAUCAGCUCCACUACCUUGCUCCACAGAGGGACGCAAUGAAGGAAACCAACCAGUCUGGAGGAUGUGGAACCACUGGGGAACCUCUGCCAGCCUUCUUUCAACUGAAAAAAGUGGAGAAGGAGCACACAGUUCUG